rnacentral:rRNA from 1 species
AUUCGAUGAUACGCGAGGAGCCUUACCCGGGCUGCAAAGUUAGUGACCGGUGGUGAAAGCCACUCUUCCAGCAAUGGACACGAAACUAGGUGCUGCAUGGUUGUCGUCAGCUCGUGCCGUGAGGUGUCGGGUUAAGUCCCAUAACGAGCGCAACCCCUGUCGUUAGUUGCUAGCAGGUAAUGCUGAGGACUCUAACGAGACUGCCGGUGUAAACCGAGAGGAAGGUGGGGNNNACNUNNAAUCAGCANNNNCCUUACGUCCGGGGCGACACACGUGUUACAAUGGAUGGUACAAAGGNNNGCAACAUAGCGAUAUGAAGCUAAUCUCRAAAAGCCAUUCUCAGUUCGGAUCGCAGGCUGAAACUCGCCUGCGUGAAGUUGGAUUCGCUAGUAAUCGCACAUCAGCCAUGGUGCGGUGAAUACGUUCCCGGGCCUUGUACACACCGCCCGUCAAGCCAUGGAAGUUGGGGGUGCCUGAAGUACGUGUGCGUA